rnacentral:rRNA from 1 species
GACGAACGCUGGCGGCGUGCCUAAUACAUGCAAGUCGAACGGAGCACUGAAUUUCGGUUUAGUGUUUAGUGGCGAACGGGUGAGUAACGCGUGAGCAACCUGACCUUCAGAGGGGGAGUAACAUUUGGAAACAGAUGCUAAUACCGCAUAAGACCACGACCCGACCAUCGGGAUGAGGUCAAAGGAGCAAUCCGCUGAAGGAGGGGCUCGCGUCCCAUUAGAUAGAUGGCGGGGUAACGGCCCACCAUGUCGACGAUGGGUAGCCGAGCUGAGAGGCUGAUCGGCCACACUGGAACUGAGACACGGUCCAGACUCCUACGGGAGGCAGCAGUGGGGAAUAUUGGGCAAUGGGCGAAAGCCUGACCCAGCAACGCCGCGUGAGUGAAGAAGGCCUUCGGUUGUAAGCUCUUCGGUCCGGGAGAAUACGCAUGGGUCGAAUACCCUCGUGUGGAUGACGGUACCGGAAGUAAGAAGCACCGGCUAACUACGUGCCAGCAGCCGCGGUAAAC